rnacentral:rRNA from 1 species
GCAUAUCAAUAAGCGGAGGAAAAGAAACUAACAAGGAUUCCCUUAGUAACGGCGAGUGAAGCGGGAAGAGCUCAAAUUUGAAAUCUUCAAGGUUCUACCUUGACGAAUUGUAGUUUAAAGAAGUGUUUUCUGUUAGAUGAGUAGCAAAAGUUCCUUGGAAUGGGACAUCAUAGAGGGUGAGAAUCCCGUAUUUGGUUAUUCAUUCUAGCUUUGUGAUACACUUUCAAAGAGUCGGAUUGUUUGGGAAUGCAGUCCAAAAUGGGUGGUAAAUCUCAUCUAAAGCUAAAUAUUGGCGAGAGACCGAUAGCGAACAAGUACCGUGAGGGAAAGAUGAAAAGAACUUUGAAAAGAGAGUUAAACAGUACGUGAAAUUGUCAAAAGGGAAGCGUUUGACACCAGUGUUGUUUUUCCGAAAAUCAAUUACGAAUGGCUUGAUUUUGUGUUGUAUUGACCUUAUCAGCUUUCUGCACUUUUUUCGAGUCUUUCUUAAUGCACUUUUCGGUUAACAAGUCAACAUCAAUUUCUUUUGUUGUAAAAGAGUAUUCGGAAGGUGGCUUUCUUUUCGGAGAAAGUGUUUAUAGCCCUAUACUUCUACAAUCGGAGAGAUUGAGGUCUGCAGCGUAGAUCCUUCGGGGUUAGAUACACUUGUGCUAAGUUGUAGCUUUUCAUAGACAACUUGUUGACUAUGUUUAGUCAUGCGGCUUACUCGCUUGUGCUAUUUUACCUACGCUUAGGAUGUUGACAAAAUGGUUUUAAACGACCCGUCUUGAAACCCGGACC